rnacentral:rRNA from 1 species
CGGGGAGGUAGUGACGAAAAAUAACGAUACGGGACUCAUCCGAGGCCCCGUAAUCGGAAUGAGUACACUUUAAAUCCUUUAACAAGGAUCAAUUGGAGGGCAAGUCUGGUGCCAGCAGCCGCGGUAAUUCCAGCUCCAAUAGCGUAUAUUAAAGUUGUUGCGGUUAAAAAGCUCGUAGUUGAAUCUGUGUGUCACAGUGUCGGUUCACCGCUCGCGGUGUCUAACUGGCAUUAUGUGAUACGUCCUACCGGUGGGCUUAGCUCCUCACGGGGGGCGGUCCAACAGACAUCCCAUCGCGAUGCUCUUUACUGAGUGUUGAGGUGGGCCGGUACGUUUACUUUGAAUAAAUUAGAGUGCUUAAAGCAGGCUAUUUUCGCCUGAAUACUAUGUGCAUGGAAUAAUGGAAUAGGACCUCGGUUCUAUUUUGUUGGUUUCCGGAACCCCGAGGUAAUGAUUAAUAGGGACAGAUGGGGGCAUUCGUAUUGCGGCGUUAGAGGUGAAAUUCUUGGAUCGUCGCAAGACGGACUAAAGCGAAAGCAUUUGCCAAAAAUGUUUUCAUUAAUCAAGAACGAAAGUUAGAGGUUCGAAGGCGAUCAGAUACCGCCCUAGUUCUAACCAUAAACGAUGCCAACCAGCAAUCCGCCGAUGUUCCUCCGAUGACUCGGCGGGCAGCUUCCGGGAAACCAAAGUUUUUGGGUUCCGGGGGAAGUAUGGUUGCAAAGCUGAAACUUAAAGGAAUUGACGGAAGGGCACCACCAGGAGUGGAGCCUGCGGCUUAAUUUGACUC